rnacentral:rRNA from 1 species
AUGUCUAGUAUAAGCAACUAUACUGUGAAACUGCGAAUGGCUCAUUAAAUCAGUUAUCGUUUAUUUGAUAGUGCCCUUACUACUUGGAUAACCGUGGUAAUUCUAGAGCUAAUACAUGCUUAAAACCUCGACUUCGGAAGAGGUGUAUUUAUUAGAUAAAAAACCAAUGCCCUUCGGGGCUCCUUGGUGAUUCAUAAUAACGCAACGAAUCGCAUGGCCUUGCGCCGGCGAUGGUUCAUUCAAAUUUCUGCCCUAUCAACUUUCGAUUGUAGUUUAGUGGACUACAAUGGUUUCAACGGGUAACGGGGAAUUAGGGUUCGACUCCGGAGAGGGAGCCUGAGAAACGGCUACCACAUCCAAGGAAGGCAGCAGGCGCGCAAAUUACCCAAUCCCGACUCGGGGAGGUAGUGACAAUAAAUACUGAUACAGGGCUCUUUUGGGUCUUGUAAUUGGAAUGAGUACAAUUUAAAUCCCUUAACGAGGAACAAUUGGAGGGCAAGUCUGGUGCCAGCAGCCGCGGUAAUUCCAGCUCCAAUAGCGUAUAUUAAAGUUGUUGCAGUUAAAAAGCUCGUAGUUGAACCUUGGGCCUGGCUGGCCGGUCCGCCUCACCGCGUGCACUGGUUCGGCCGGGCCUUUCCUUCUGUGGAUCCGCAUGCCCUUCACUGGGUGUGUUGGGGAAACAGGACUUUUACUUUGAAAAAAUUAGAGUGUUCAAAGCAGGCCUUUGCUCGAAUACAUUAGCAUGGAAUAAUAGAAUAGGACGGCCUUCCUAUUUUGUUGGUUUCUAGGAGCGCCGUAAUGAUUAAUAGGGAUAGUUGGGGGCAUCAGUAUUCAAUUGUCAGAGGUGAAAUUCUUGGAUUUAUUGAAGACUAUCUACUGCGAAAGCAUUUGCCAAAGAUGUUUUCAUUAAUCAGUGAACGAAAGUUAGGGGAUCGAAGACGAUCAGAUACCGUCGUAGUCUUAACCAUAAACUAUGCCGACUAGGGAUUCGGCGAUGUUACUAUUCUUGACUCGCUCGGCACGUUUCGAGAAAUCCAAAGUUUUUGGGUCUGGGGGGGAGUAUGGUCGCAAGGCUGAAAACCUAAAGAAAUGGACGGAAAGGGCACCACCCAGGAGUGAACCUUUGCCGUUCGCCGCAGCAACUCUGCUCCGAAAAGCAGCCCGAAAGGGUGAGGUGGUCCAGCCCGGGCACGUCCCGAAUCUAAAUGCUAGUCCGUUCGCGGGCGACACGCUCAAACUGCGGGAAAAUCCUAAAGCUCCAGACACCAAGCCGGCGGCCGAAAGGCGUCGGUGGCCAGGUUAAUAGCCUCGGGUACGGUAACAGCUCUGGAGAUGCGACAAUGGGUGAUCCGCAUCCAAGCUCCGCACGUCUGCCCGCAGACAGGAGAAGGUUCAGAGACUAGACGGGUGUGGGUCCAUCCCGGGUCUUGCAGGCCUGGGUGGGCUUAAGGUAUAGUCCGGCCACCGUCGAAAGGCGGUGGGUCUCCCUCUCGUAGGGGGCUCCAACGGGAGCCUGCGGCUUAAUUUGACUCAACACGGGGAAACUCACCAGGUCCAGAUACACGUAGGAUUGACAGAUUGAGAGCUCUUUCUUGAUUGUGUAGUUGGUGGUGCAUGGCCGUUCUUAGUUGGUGGAGUGAUUUGUCUGCUUAAUUGCGAUAACGAACGAGACCUUCAUCGUUAAAUAGCCCGGCUCGCUUUGGCGUGUCGCCGGCUUCUUAGCGAGACUUUUGGCUUAAGCCAAAGGAAGUUGGAGGCAAUAACAGGUCUGUGAUGCCCUUAGAUGUUCUGGGCUGCACGCGCGCUACACUGACAGAGCCAACGAGUUUUUUUUCCUUGGCCGGAAGGUCUGGGUAAUCUUGUUAAACUCUGUCGUGCUGGGGAUAGAGCAUUGCAAUUAUUGCUCUUCAACGAGGAAUGCCUAGUAAGCGCGUGUCAUCAGCACGCGUUGAUUACGUCCCUGCCCUUUGUACACACCGCCCGUCGCUACUACCGAUUGAAUGGCUCAGUGAGGCCUCCGGACUGGCUCAGAGAGGUUGGCAACGACCACUCAGGGCCGGAAGCUGGUCA